GACGAGCCUCACAAACGUUAUUCGGAAUUACUGGGCUUAAAGGGUGCGUAGGUGGCGAGGUUAGUCAGGUGUGAAAUCUCGGGGCUCAACCCCGAAACUGCACUUGAUACUGCCUUGCUAGAGUACUGGAGAGGAGAUUGGAAUUUACGGUGUAGCAGUGAAAUGCGUAGAUAUCGUAAGGAAGACCAGUGGCGAAGGCGAAUCUCUGGACAGUUACUGACACUGAGGCACGAAGGCCAGGGGAGCAAACGGG
rnacentral:rRNA from 1 species